rnacentral:rRNA from 1 species
GGGGAAUUUUGGACCAUGGGGGCAACCCUGAUCCAGCCAUGCCGCGUGAGUGAAGAAGGCCUUCGGGUUGUAAAGCUCUUUCGGCGGGGAAGAAAUGGCAACGGCUAAUAUCCGUUGUUGAUGACGGUACCCGCAUAAGAAGCACCUGCUAACUACGUGCCAGCAGCCGCGGUAAUACGUAGGGUGCGAGCGUUAAUCGGAAUUACUGGGCGUAAAGCGUGCGCAGGCGGUUUCGUAAGACAGACGUGAAAUCCCCGGGCUCAACCUGGGAACUGCGUUUGUGACUGCGAGGCUAGUGUACGGCAGAGGGGGAUGGAAUUCCGCGUGUAGCAGUGAAAUGCGUAGAUAUGCGGAGGAACACCGAUGGCGAAGGCAAUCCCCUGGGCCUGCACUGACGCUCAUGCACGAAAGCGUGGGGAGCAAACA